AUUGAACGCUGGCGGCAUGCUUUACACAUGCAAGUCGAACGGUAACAGGUCUUCGGAUGCUGACGAGUGGCGAACGGGUGAGUAAUGUAUCGGAACGUGCCCAGUAGUGGGGGAUAACGUACUCGAAAGAGUGGCUAAUACCGCAUGAGAACUGAGGUUGAAAGCGGGGGACCUUCGGGCCUCGCGCUACUGGAGCGGCCGAUAUCAGAUUAGGUAGUUGGUGGGGUAAAGGCCUACCAAGCCGACGAUCUGUAGCUGGUCUGAGAGGACGACCAGCCACACUGGGACUGAGACACGGCCCAGACUCCUACGGGAGGCAGCAGUGGGGAAUUUUGGACAAUGGACGCAAGUCUGAUCCAGCAAUGCCGCGUGCAGGACGAAGGCCUUCGGGUUGUAAACUAGCUUUUGUACAGAACGAAAAGGACUCUGGUUAAUACCUGGGGCGUCAUACGGUACUGUAAGAAUAAAGCACCGGCUAACUACGUAGCCAGCAGCCGCGGU
rnacentral:rRNA from 1 species